rnacentral:sRNA from 1 species
AAUUAUUAAUGGUUCACUUACUUAUAUUUUUAGUAUAAAAAAACCUGCCCGCAGGCAGGUUUUUUAUUAUU